GUUGCGGAGAAUGUUGUCUGGUUCGCAAUCAUUCUAUAGAAAAGUUAGUGUCCACCACAGACUUAUAAGAUUGAUCAAUCAACUUAAUGAGUGAUUUCGGACCAGGCUUCAUUCCCCCCAAC
rnacentral:pre_miRNA from 1 species